GCCUGGUGGUUCCUGGAGACAGCUAACCCAUGCUGAUCAAUAGGUUUUUGAUCAACAGGCGUAAAUUGAUCUCUGCGAUUCAAUGCAUGGGCGCUGCUUGUCUGUGUGGCGUCCAUAGCCCGGUUUCAGAGACACUG